rnacentral:rRNA from 1 species
UGGUGGAGUGAUUUGUCUGCUUAAUUGCGAUAACGAACGAGGCCUUAACCUGCUAAAUAGCCAGGCCCGCUUUGGCGGGUCGCCGGCUUCUUAGAGGGACUAUCGGCUCAAGCCGAUGGAAGUUUGAGGCAAUAACA